CCCUAUCACACUGAAAUACAAACAGCUGGAAUUACAUUUGAUUUUCAUCAAGUAUAUUUGAAUGAUCUUUCAAAUGGCAGCAGUAUCAAUGCUCCUUGUCAGUAUUUCCAAAAACAGUUUCUCAUGUUGUGGUUUCAUGGCUCUUUUAAUUGCAAAUUAGGCUAACCAGAUUCUUAUGCUGCUUUGGGGAAAAAAAAAGAAAAAAAAUACCUCCCACAGAAAUGUCUUUGAGAACUUAUAUAAGUGAGGGUUCCAUAAAUAUGUAAGCCAAAAGAUUUGAUUUGGUUAAAGAGCUAUAGAAAACUGAAGUUUUCAACAGUCCCAUUCCUGUGCUAUCACUGGUUUUCCCAAAUUGCUAGCAAUGAGCUUUUGGUGUGAGUCCAAGUUAAACUCUGCCAUCCUUCCUCGGAUUCCUUCAUAGGCUAAGUAUCAAGCUGAAACUUCCCUCUCAAGAGCCUUUACCUUUACUGACAUUGUGUCAGUGUUUUACUUUCAGCAACACUUCCAUCCUCUUCUUGGGAAUGGUCUUUUCUGUGCGUUACAGUCCUAUUGAAGGGCUGUGUAAGAAUCUACUGAAGACUUUUCAGCUAUGACCUUGUGGCCCUCAAGUGGGUGUUCAAGUUUCUCAAGAAUCCUCAAACAUCCAGAGUAAGAGCUACGAAUGGAAAUGCAAGGCUGCUGAAAAGGAGAGAAAACCAACAUUAAAACAUCCGAAAAAUGUGCUUGCAAAUCUGUGUACCAUUUCAGAAAUGAGUCUAAAGGGAUUUCAUCCAUCAAACGGAACAAUAUAAUGACUUUUGAUCUCUACUAAAGUGGUGAGAGAAUGGAAAUAAGAAAAAAAAAGAAGGAAAAAAAGCAGUAGAGAAGAGAGAGAAUGAAGGAAGCUGAGUCUGGAGACUGUCUUUCCUGCUGACGGUGAAUGAAGACUGCAAUAUUCUCUGCUGCAAGUCCAUCUGCUCUUGAACCUCUCUUAAAAAGAUCUAUCUAACAAUAUUCUUCCUUUGGAGUUUCCAGUGCUGCUUAUGAAGACUUGAAAGCAGA
ensembl:lncRNA